rnacentral:lncRNA from 1 species
UUUCGGGUUUACUUCCUCGAGUCGACUCGGAUUCUCUUGGAGUCGACUCGGCUCUCAGAGCCUGAAAACUGGUCUUCUGUCUUUGGAGUUGAACUGCCUCGGAGUCGACUCGGACUUUGCGGGAGUCGACUCGGCUCUCAGAGACCGAAAAACUGCUCUUCUGUCGUUGAAGUUGAACUGCCUCAGAGUCGACUCGGACUUUGCGGGAGUCGACUCGGCUCUUAGAGACCGAAAAACUACUCUUCUGUCGUUGAAGUUGAACUGCCUCGGAGUCGACUCGGACUUUGCGGGAGUCGACUCGGCUCUCAGAGACCGAAGUUGGCUCUCUGACUUUUAGUCUUGCAUUCCUCUGAGAGUCGACUCUUGCUUUCUUUGGAGUCGACUCGCCAACUGUUGGAGUCGACUCGAGUUCUUCUGGAGUCGACUCGGUUCUCAGAGUCCAAAACAACUUCUCUGUCUUUCUAUCUGUUACUCCUUGGAGUUGACUCGGAACUAUCGGGGGUCGACUCAGCAAGCAUCGGAGUCGACUCGAAUUCUUCAGGAGUCGACUCGAGUCUGUGCCAGAACGUCUGAAUCACUUGGAGUCGACUCGAAAUCUUCCAGAGUCGACUCGCGUUCUAGACUUUGGUUCAAACUGAGUUCCAUACUUAGCCAAAAUGUAUUGAACCAAGGCUAGAGAUAAUUAAACAUAGAUUCACAAAUAUUUGGCUGAAACACUAGAUUGAAUUCAUUAGUAUAACAUAAGAUAUACUCAAAUGCUUUGAGCUCAUCAAAAUCAAAUAGGGUUAUAAUCAAUCACUCCACAAAGGUAUAUAAAAUCUAAAAAGCCCAAUGACUAGUCGGAAGUAAUACAAAUUUAAGUUCUUUUUAUUAAGUCUCUCUUAGGAAGUUGUGCUAAUUAAUACUUUGAAAUUUCACUACACACUGUUCGACCCUUCUAAGGUCUAGGCUCGACAAUAUGUUGAUAGUAUAGUAGCAACCUUGGACCCUGAUGAAUCAUACUUAUCUAAUUCAAAAAAAAAAAAUUCAUCAAUAAAAAUGGAUUUAGUCAGGAACANNNNNNNNNNNNNNNNNNNNUAAUUAAUACUUUGAAAUUUCACUACACACUGUUCGACCCUUCUAAGGUCUAGGCUCGACAAUAUGUUGAUAGUAUAGUAGCAACCUUGGACCCUGAUGAAUCAUACUUAUCUAAUUCAAAAAAAAAAAUUCAUCAAUAAAAAUGGAUUUAGUCAGGAACAUCGAAAAGGGCUACCUAUUGUCAAAGGUCAAGUGGGCUUGUGAUGAGGACUCCGAGCAUAAGUUCGUAGGGGAGUCUUGAUGCGCGACACCUUAUGCCAACUGGUGUGAGAGUUGUCGACUGAUUGCUCGUUACACGGAGAAAUCACCACAAGAGUAAAAGUACACAAUUUAUACAUCUUUCACAAAAAAAAAGAAAAAGUUCUGUAUUGACCUUGAAAAAGACAAUAGUGUGAAAGCCGUCGUUGUAAAAAUUCGAGUAAACUAGAAUAUUACAGAUAAAGCCCGUGAGGUACUAAAGUAAAUAUCCACAACUCUCGAAAUCCUGCAGAUAUGAUGUUUUUGAAUCAGUGAGCAGGUCUUUUCAACCAAUCCUUGGAAACUACUAGUAUUAACAAUAUUUUGGAGAUCCGAAUCCUUAGCUUGUGUACGGUCCAGAUUUCACCGAGCACUCCAGUAUAAAUAAGUCUUACAACUCCCUAACGGAGACUUAAUGACCUCAACUUGAAUUGCAUUUUGACCUAGGAUUUGGGCUGACUUAGUAAAUAAAACCGUGUGUGCUUUGAAAUUCUUAUCAUUUAUGUAUCUUAAAUUAGAUUUUAAUAAUAAUAAAAAAAGAGAGUUUUUGAAAUUCUUAGCUAGUAUGCAUUUGGAAUUUGAUUUUCACGUCAUAGAUUAAUCGAUCUAAAAAUAAUAAUAAUAAUAAUAAUAAUAAUAAAUUAAUAAAAAUAAAAAGAAUAAACAAUCAAAAAAAAUAACAAUAAUAAUAAAUAAUUUAUUUUAAGAUUGAAGUUUGUGGGUAUCUUCACUGGAAAUCCUCACGAGACUAUAACUCAUCCACUAGGAUAACCUAGGGGUUUAAAGCCUUGUUGCAUAUGGUAAAUGCAAUCGCGAUGCCUGCGAAAGUGAGUUAGAGUUUUUUUUUUAAUUUUAUUUUGCUCGAGGACAAGCAAAACAUAGGUUUGGGGGUGUGAUAAGUGCUUAUUAAUUCAUAAUUUAGUUAUCUUUCCAUAACACUUAUCAAUGUUCUUAAACUAAUAAAUACAUAUUUUACCAUGAAAUUGAAUAAAUAUUGAAAUAAAUUUAAAAUAUGGUAAGAAAUAAAUAAUUUUUUUCUUAAAACAGACUCUAAACUCGUCUCUCUCCUGGUUGCGAUCUUUCAUGAAAACAUAUAAGGAGGGGAUUGGGUUGACCCGGUUUAGUAACUUGAUGGAGUUUUAAUCAAGCUAAGGCUAUAAUUAAAUGGGUUUUGGUCCUGAUUCGAUCGAAAGUUAUAAUUAAUUUUGUAUGGGGCAGAGAUUUGAUUAACCCUUUUUAUUAGGUCACGAUCCUGUUUUUAGUCUUGUCUGGUCGAAUUCGAUCUGAAGCAGCUUAGCAAGAAUUAAAUUUAAAUGACAAUGGGCUCAAGGACAAGUCAACCAUCAUGACCCACCUCAAACCCAAAGUCAAUUCCCAACCAAUUUCUUACCUGCCUUCAUAUAAAAUUUAUAAAUUUAAAACAAAAAAAGGGAAAUAAUGAAAUAAAUAAAAAUAAUUUCGGGGAGAAUCACUUAUUCACUGUUCAUAUGAACAAUGUCCCGUAAAAACACUGUUCAUAUGAACAGUGAGAAAUAAUAUAAUUAAAACUGUUUCACUGUUUAUCUCCUUCCUCCCGUUAUCUAUCCUUUCCGUGAUCCUGCCUCACAGAGCGCCCCCUGCCCAUUCCAGCCACGCGUCACAGCCGACGCUCCAAUCCUCCACGCGGUGCAGCCGGUGACCAGAUCCUCCGCCUCUUCAUCCGCCUGCAUCCCCGCCUCCGCACAGCUGCCGUUCCGGGCGUCCGAGACAAGCUCCGCAUGCUCCCAGCGUAUCACGCCAUGGAUCCGGCCACCUCCUUGUUCCGCUCCUCCCAGCAUCGCGUCCCAGCCGCUCUCGGAGUCAGCCAUCCUUCCGCAUCAGGCGUCCGGCGAUCCCGCAUCCAUUCCUUCCACGGUCCAAAGAAAGAAGUCGUCCGGAGCGAUCCUCCCAGCCAUCCCGCAACCAAAUCUCCUCCAUGAUCAACGCUUCCAGCAUCCCAUGAGAUCAGGCAUGAGCCCAAGCAUCUAGCCAUCCCCCUCUUCUGGAUUUGAGCCAUCCAUCCGCGAUCUGUCCUCUGCUUCUUCUUCCGCGAUGCAUCCGGAGCCAGCCAUCACGUUGAUCCCGCGGCUCCUCCCAUCGAGUAUCCCGGAUUCGCAUCCCCACCGGCACGCUCUCAAGGGAUCCAUCACCGGGUGAGAGGGUCUAUAUGAAGAAGCCAUCGGCAGGGAAGAGAGGGAGCUCGGUUGAGGAAAAACAGGGGAGACCCUGUUUCGGUGAAGAGAAGAAGAGAGCCAAACCAGAGAAAAGAAAUAAAAAAAAGAGAGAAGGAGGGGAAAGAGAAUAUUUUGUGAUAUUUUGGAAAUGAUGGGAGGUGAAGGCUUUCAUUUGAAGAUGGGAGGUCAUCCGAAAGCCAUGCUCGGCUAAACGUCUAGUCUAGGGCUGGAUGAAGCCCUAGCAAUGUAUCAGGGCAUUGUAGUUCUUAUUUUUUUUAUUAUUUUGG